rnacentral:rRNA from 1 species
UCAUACGGAGGAUCCAAGCGUUAUCCGGAAUAACUGGGCGUAAAGCGUUGCGUAGGCGGCCGUGUAAGCGGAGUGUGAAAUCGUGUGGCUCAACCAUACGGCUAUGCUCUGAACUGCACGGCUAGAGAGUGAGAGAGGUUACUGGAAUUUCUAGUGUAGGAGUGAAAUCCGUAGAUAUUAGAAGGAACACCGAUGGCGUAGGCAGGUAACUGGCUCAUUUCUGACGCUCAGGCACGAAAGCGUGGGGAGCGAACGGGAUUAGAUACCCCGGUAGUCCACGCUGUAAACGAUGGAUGCUAGCUGUGAGAAGUAUCGACCCUUCUCGUAGCGAAGCUAACGCGUUAAGCAUCCCGCCUGGGGAGUACGGUCGCAAGAUUA